CUGUCCGGCGUAUAUUUUUGACAGAUACUUUUGGCGUCGUAAAAAUCAAACUCGCAGCGUACACCUGACGCUACUUUCGUUAGACAGUGUGGCCUAGCCAUAACAUGUAGUUACGGUAAUACAUUUUCUGGGACUGCUCGUGAUUUUCAUAUUAACCUAUUUGUCUACAGAACAUGGUCCAUAUACCCUGCAAGAAAUUUUUUUCGGUGCUUUGUUGGGCAGAUAGACAAGUAUUCUGAAAUGCAAACAUGUUACAGCCCCCUCUCCCCUCACAGGGUUGAGGAUGAGGACUGCAGUUGAACUGUGCCACUGCUCACUCCCUCAGGUCCAGCUACUGCCAAGGGGGAGCAGUUGCCUUUCCCACAGCAGAGCCCGGAGCCCCUUCGCUCUCCUAUGAUGAAGACGGAAUGGAGCCCCUGCUCAUGUUCAUUAAGAGAGAAGAAGAUAACCAGCCUGAACGUGUCAGUGCUGCGGUAGCCUCCGCGGUGGGUCCCCGUGCAGUACAUGUGUAGGGUGGUGUAGUGGGCCGUGGAGUGUGUAACUUCAUUUCCCAUAACACCCCAGCAUGAUGCACUGCAAGCCCUUACAGUAGUGGAUAAAUUACUAUUAUUUCACCUUCACUACUAACAAAUGCAGCAAUAAUUAUUCUGGGCCUUGUGCAGCCUCAGAGGCCCCUUUACUCAGUCUUACUUAUUGUCUUGUUCUGCCCUCACUCCCUUCCUGACUCUCAAACGCACCUGCACGUAUUACUUUACUCACCUGUGCUCUUCCUCACACCUCCCUCCUCUCCUGUAAGGUGGGAGCAGACUUACUGUGUACAUUUUCUUCUUGCUGGGGCCGCCUGUAGCCUAGUGGCUACGGUACAUGACUGGGACCCGGAAGGUUGGUGGUGCAAGACCCAAUGUAGCCACAAUAAGAUCGGCAUAGCUGUUGGGCCCUUGAGUAAGGCCCUUAACCCUGCAUUGCCCCCUGCUACAUCUAUUCAAUUGUAAGUCACUUUGGAUAAAAGCGUCAGCUAAAUAACAAAUUAUUCUUAUUAUAAAUUAACUUGUAGCUAGUUUGUACUAAUUAUGAA